UGGCGGCAAGCUUAACACAUGCCAGUCUGAACGCGAUUGUUAUCAUAGCUUGCUAUGAUAACAAUUAGUGGCAGACGGGUGAGUAAUGCAUAGGAAUCUACCUAGUAGUAUGGGAUAGCCACUAGAAAUGGUGGGUAAUACUGUAUAAUCCCUGCGGGGGAAAGAUUUAUCGCUAUUAGAUGAGCCUAUGUUAGAUUAGCUAGUUGGUAGGGUAAAGGCCUACCAAGGCAGUGAUCUAUAGCUGGUCUGAGAGGAUGAUCAGCCACACUGGAACUGAGAUACGGUCCAGACUCCUACGGGAGGCAGCAGUGGGGAAUAUUGGACAAUGGGCGCAAGCCUGAUCCAGCUAUGCCGCGUGAGUGAGGAAGGCCUUAGGGUUGUAAAACUCUUUCAGUGGGGAAGAUAAUGACGGUACCCACAGAAGAAGUCCCGGCAAACUCCGUGCCAGCAGC
rnacentral:rRNA from 1 species